CAUAUUAAAGUUUAUUAGGAAUUUUUCUGUUACAAUGAAAAGGUCUCAUUAUUUGAGUAAUAUGAGAG
rnacentral:tRNA from 2 species